CAGCUCCAGCCACAGGGAAGGGUUUCUUCCCAAGACAGUGGCAUGUUCUUAGAGUGGAGCCACCCAGAGGAGCCUGUCCUACAUGAAGACAUAGCAGGUGGACCUCGGGGGAAGCCAGCAGCGUCUUCUAACUGUGAAGACACGGGGAGGCCAGCUGUGAGGGCAGCAGGAGGAGGAAGACGGGGGCUCGCACACGGGCAAGGCAAACAGCUCUUAAGAACCCAGGAUAAAAUGAAGGGACAGGAAGAAGCACAUCACCAAGGGUGCAUCUUGGAAGAGCAGCAUUAUCCAGAUGGAAACGCACAGAUUUGACAAGUAAAUGAAAAGUCCAUGGAACUCGAUGCAGAGAGAGUGGAGCUGAGGCUCUGAGCAGACUCAUUGCAGGCAAGAGCUGAUGGAAGUCCAUGAGUGGGAGGCUCAAGGGGUCUUGGUGGCCUCCACACUCAGUCAAGAGCCGAGAUCCAUGGAGACAAGCAGGUCAGGCCAGGCCCAAGUCACACAUCCAAGAUUACAGUACAAAAUAAAACCAGCCCAAGACAAGA
rnacentral:lncRNA from 1 species